rnacentral:rRNA from 1 species
GGAAUCUUCCACAAUGGGCGAAAGCCUGAUGGAGCAACGCCGCGUGUGUGAUGAAGGGUUUCGGCUCGUAAAACACUGUUGUAAGAGAAGAAUGACAUUGAGAGUAACUGUUCAAUGUGUGACGGUAUCUUACCAGAAAGGAACGGCUAAAUACGUGCUAG